CCUGAGAAACCCAAAAGAUCGAAUGGGGAGAUUCAUCGUCAGCUUAUCCAGUAUAUGCACAAGUUGUGAUAUAAAUUUUUCGGAAUUUUUACAUGCUUGUGUUAUUUAAUUGCUGGAUAUUUGUCGGCGUGCACUUCUCCCCUAGUAGGACGUCGCGACCCAUUGGAUGUCACUCUAUGUCCCAAUUGGUAGCCUUUAAUAAUAUUUUUAUUAAUAUUAUUGAAGACCAUUGGUGUAUGCUGACUGACUGUUCGAUGGUAUGCGCAUGGUAUUGAGCCGCAUAAUAUUUGCGUCGGACUUGUAGCAAGCAUAAUUAGUGUCUAACCUUGCAGUAUGGACUUUGUUCCGUCGCGAGGCCUAAUUUGCUGUUAGUUUACAAUGUUCUUCGACUGGCUCGAAAUAUAAAUAUAUAAUACCGGUCGGCGACGCUACUGCUUUGGGUACUUUCAGGACCCGUCUUGAAACACGGACCAAGGAGUCUAACAUGUGCGCAAGUCAUUGGGAUAAAUUUUUUWAAAUAAAUUAAACCUAAAGGCGCAAUGAAAGUAAAGGUUGUCCUUGUGAUAACUAAGGGAAGAUGGAUUAUGUUUAAUUACAUA
rnacentral:rRNA from 1 species